rnacentral:rRNA from 1 species
CACCGCCCGUCACACCAUGGGAGUCAGUUGCUCUAGAAGUCGGUGCGCCAACCUCGGAGGCAGCCGCUAACGAGUCGACUGGUGACUGGGGUG